rnacentral:rRNA from 1 species
CCUACGGGAGGCAGCAGUGAGGAAUAUUGGUCAAUGGACGAGAGUCUGAACCAGCCAAGUAGCGUGAAGGAUGACUGCCCUAUGGGUUGUAAACUUCUUUUAUAAAGGAAUAAAACGAGGCACGUGUGCCUUUUUGCAUGUACUUUAUGAAUAAGGAUCGACUAACUCCGUGCCAGCAGCCGCGGUAAUACGGAGGGUCCGAGCGUUAUCCGGAUUUAUUGGGUUUAAAGGGAGCGUAGAUGGGUUGUUAAGUCAGUUGUGAAAGUUUGCGGCUCAACCGUAAAAUUGCAAUUGAUACUGGCAGGCUGGAGUACAGUUGAGGUAGGCGGAAUUCGUGGUGUAGCGGUGAAAUGCUUAGAUAUCACGAAGAACCCCGAUUGCGAAGGCAGCUUACUAAACUGUGACUGACAUUGAUGCUCGAAAGUGUGGGUAUCAAACAGGAUUAGAUACCCGUGUAGUC